AAAUUGAAGAGUUUGAUCAUGGCUCAGAUUGAACGCUGGCGGCAGGCCUAACACAUGCAAGUCGAGCGGUAGCACAGAGAGCUUGCUCUCGGGUGACGAGCGGCGGACGGGUGAGUAAUGUCUGGGAAACUGCCUGAUGGAGGGGGAUAACUACUGGAAACGGUAGCUAAUACCGCAUAACGUCGCAAGACCAAAGUGGGGGACCUUCGGGCCUCAUGCCAUCAGAUGUGCCCAGAUGGGAUUAGCUAGUAGGUGGGGUAAUGGCUCACCUAGGCGACGAUCCCUAGCUGGUCUGAGAGGAUGACCAGCCACACUGGAACUGAGACACGGUCCAGACUCCUACGGGAGGCAGCAGUGGGGAAUAUUGCACAAUGGGCGCAAGCCUGAUGCAGCCAUGCCGCGUGUAUGAAGAAGGCCUUCGGGUUGUAAAGUACUUUCAGCGAGGAGGAAGGCGUUAAGGUUAAUAACCUUAACGAUUGACGUUACUCGCAGAAGAAGCACCGGCUAACUCCGUGCCAGCAGCCGCGGUAAUACGGAGGGUGCAAGCGUUAAUCGGAAUUACUGGGCGUAAAGCGCACGCAGGCGGUCUGUCAAGUCGGAUGUGAAAUCCCCGGGCUCAACCUGGGAACUGCAUUCGAAACUGGCAGGCUAGAGUCUUGUAGAGGGGGGUAGAAUUCCAGGUGUAGCGGUGAAAUGCGUAGAGAUCUGGAGGAAUACCGGUGGCGAAGGCGGCCCCCUGGACAAAGACUGACGCUCAGGUGCGAAAGCGUGGGGAGCAAACAGGAUUAGAUACCCUGGUAGUCCACGCCGUAAACGAUGUCGACUUGGAGGUUGUGCCCUUGAGGCGUGGCUUCCGGAGCUAACGCGUUAAGUCGACCGCCUGGGGAGUACGGCCGCAAGGUUAAAACUCAAAUGAAUUGACGGGGGCCCGCACAAGCGGUGGAGCAUGUGGUUUAAUUCGAUGCAACGCGAAGAACCUUACCUACUCUUGACAUCCAGAGAACUUAGCAGAGAUGCUUUGGUGCCUUCGGGAACUCUGAGACAGGUGCUGCAUGGCUGUCGUCAGCUCGUGUUGUGAAAUGUUGGGUUAAGUCCCGCAACGAGCGCAAC
rnacentral:rRNA from 1 species